rnacentral:rRNA from 1 species
CACAAGCGGUGGAUGAUGUGGUUUAAUUCGAUGCAACGCGAAAACCUUACCCACCUUUGACAUGUACGGAAUCCUUUAGAGAUAGAGGAGUGCUCGAAAGAGAGCCGUAACACAGGUGCUGCAUGGCUGUCGUCAGCUCGUGUCGUGAGAUGUUGGGUUAAGUCCCGCAACGAGCGCAACCCUUGUCAUUAGUUGCUACAUUCAGUUGGGCACUCUAAUGAGACUGCCGGUGACAAACCGGAGGAAGGUGGGGAUGACGUCAAGUCCUCAUGGCCCUUAUAGGUGGGGCUACACACGUCAUACAAUGGAUGGUACAAAGGGUCGCCAACCCGCGAGGGGGAGCCAAUCCCAUAAAGCCAUUCGUAGUCCGGAUCGCAGUCUGCGACUCGACUGCGUGAAGUCGGAAUCGCUAGUAAUCGUGGAUCAGAAUGUCACGGUGAAUACGUUCCCGGGUCUU